CAAUAGCGUAUAUUAAAGUUGUUGCGGUUAAAAGCUCGUAGUUGGAUUUCUGCUGAGGACGACCGGUCCGCCCUCCGGGUGAGCAUCUGGUUCGGCCUUGGCAUCUUCUUGGUGAACGUAUCUGCACUUGACUGUGUGGUGCGGUACCCAGGACUUUUACUUUGAGGAAAUUAGAGUGUUUCAAGCAGGCAUACGCCUUGAAUACAUUAGCAUGGAAUAAUAAGAUAGGACCUCGGUUCUAUUUUGUUGGUUCUAGAGCUUGAGGUUAAUGAUUAAUAGGGAUAGUUGGGGGUCAUUUACGUGAUUUAACUGGUCAGUAGGUGAAAUUCUUGGAUUUGUUAAAGACG
rnacentral:rRNA from 1 species